GACGAACGCUGGCGGCGUGCUUAACACAUGCAAGUCGAACGGAAAGGCCCUGCUUUUGUGGGGUGCUCGAGUGGCGAACGGGUGAGUAACACGUGAGUAACCUGCCCCUGACUUUGGGAUAACUUCAGGAAACUGGGGCUAAUACCGGAUAGGAGCUCCUGCUGCAUGGUGGGGGUUGGAAAGUUUCGGCGGUUGGGGAUGGACUCGCGGCUUAUCAGCUUGUUGGUGGGGUAGUGGCUUACCAAGGCUUUGACGGGUAGCCGGCCUGAGAGGGUGACCGGCCACAUUGGGACUGAGAUACGGCCCAGACUCCUACGGGAGGCAGCAGUGGGGAAUAUUGCACAAUGGGCGGAAGCCUGAUGCAGCAACGCCGCGUGCGGGAUGACGGCCUUCGGGUUGUAAACCGCUUUCGCCUGUGACGAAGCGUGAGUGACGGUAAUGGGAAAAGAAGCACCGGCUAACUACGUG
rnacentral:rRNA from 1 species